rnacentral:lncRNA from 1 species
UAUUUUUUUCAUUUGACACAUUUUUUUUUGUCACUAAGAAAUAUACAUCUAUUAAUUUAAAGGUUGGAUAAAUUAAAUAAAAAUAUUUUUUCAUCAUAAACUGCUGUGAUCGAGCGAUCCUAACCAGCGCUGAGAAAAGUAAUAGAUACCACGUGACCACGCCUUAUUCUGAAAACAUUUAAAAAAUAAAAUUUACACGAGAAUAAUGAUAUUUAUAGAUCUUAACAGAUCUUAGAAACUAUAUAGUGAAGUGCUAAAACAAAAUUAUUAUUUGGACCCAUUGUAUUUGACCAAGCGAUUACAGACAAGGUAAAGGCAGGUAAGCACCGCCCAUUUUCAGUUUGCACGUUAACGGUACAUUACAGAUUGUUUUGCUAACCGCCACAAUGAAAUUUCGCAUUAUGAUGAGCUCGUUUAUGAAGGAUGCCCAAUUAUUAAUAUAUUGGACCCCACAGCUCCACUUUGACUGUGUGAAGAAUUACAUGCUGGAGCAUCUCGCAUGAUGAAAAAGAUUGAUUGCACAGUGGCAGACUCUCCAGGGACUGUGUGCGAUGGGUCCCCAGAGUAUCCAGAAGCAGAGGCAGAGGAAGGAGCCGCUUCAGGCGUGGAGCUCUUCCAAAUACGCAGACGUUCCAGCCGGAACCUGCAGCUGCCCCCGUUGGUCUUCCGGCAAGCUGAGCAACAUGACUGGAACAGCAAAGAGACUGAGCCGAUUGCCCGUCCAACCACUCUGGCACUGCGCAUCCCCCCGCUCAUCGCCAUCACAUCUGCUGACGCCGGCAGCCUGUUCCUUCUUUGAUGGACUCUUUAAAGAGGCAGAGCUGAAGGGUGUCUCUCCAGGGCCGCAAGCAGAUGGAUGAAAGAGAAUUUGUGGCUUAAGAUCAGUUUCUUAUAAGAUUUUCUGAUCUAUACAAACUGUGGAGAUCUGCGCUGCUUUCUAAAGAAGUUUCCUGCAUGUAUUGUCUGGUUUGACCCCAAGCAUGGUUCAUUUAUAAUUCAUAGUUUGUGCUACGAACUGUCACUGAAUUUCUUCAACAUGCUAACACAUUUUGCUGACUCUGCUGUGGAUUGGGUCAUUUUGACUGGCUCGUUGGCCACACUGUUAUUGACACUACGACUGUUUAAAUCAGCUUUAGCACUGAUACUGCUGAACUGUGCACUUUUAUGUCUAAAGUCCAUUACAUUAACUAUCCUAAACACCUGCCAUUACCUCAGCUGUAUUUUUUUGGGGGGGGGGGGGUCUAGAUACAGCUUGGCAUAUUCAAAGUCAGAAGAGGUUUAUAGUUUCACAGUCAUAUGAAAAUAGGAAUUGGUCUCUUUCCGAAGCCUUGCUGUGCUGGAGUGGCAAUAUCAGCAGCCUGAAUCAGCCAUGGACCGGAAUACAAUUUUUAUGUGUCUGGUGAGUCAUAUUCUGCCCCUUGAUAUGUGAAUACAUCUGGGAUUCGUUUAGAAGUUUGUGCAUGCUUUGGCAUGUAAUAAAUAGAUCAUGCGUCAGGCUCCAUGUAAAGCAUAAAAAACUGAUUUUCUCAGUUUUUAUUCUUUGCAUCGUGUGACGUAAACCCUGGCUCUGCAUUUGCACAUUCUUCAAUUACACAGAUUAUUCACAUGGUUCUGUUCAGUAUUAGGGAAUUUGAAUGAGUAAGCUAUCGGUCUUAUAGCCAGCCAUGUAAAGUUGUUUUAGGGUCAUGAUCACAUGCCACCUGACCUCACUAACUCAUAAGUUGGUGGUUAGAUGACUAGUCAAACACCCUGACACAUUUGUUCUGUUCUACACCACCCCUUAAAAGUGACAUCCAGAGACACCUCUGUGGUGAGUUCAAAGAAGAAGGUCAGUUUAUGAAUCUCUGAUUUGAUGCAAAACAUUUACCAUAAACCACAAAACAUUUAUUUGGAUUAUUAGUAUCAUUGACAACCAUCCCCAUACCCAGUGGCAUCAAAUUUAAUGUAGCCUGUUUUAUUCCCGUGAAAGGUUUACUUGUCACAUGCAGAUUCAUACCUGCAAAAAAUAAUUUCCAUUUUCUGUCUUCCCAAGCUCACAGAGCACAAACCGCAAGCAAACGUUAAACCAAUUGCCGGUUUGAUUUGUGCUACAAGACCUCUAUCCAUUAUCCAGUUCAAUCUUGGAACUUAUCAACUCAGUCAGCCUACAGUACACUUUAAUUUGCAUGAAGCGCCCACCCAUUAAGUUGAUAAAAAUUGUUAGUUAAUAGCAGCAUGAAAUAGCAGCUUUCUUUCCUGUUUUGAUAUAUUUUCUUUUGAAAUAGUAGGUUGGGAUGAGAUCCACAGAUUAUAUUUGUUUAGUCUAAAAACCAUGAGCCAUGAUUUUUGUGUUUUUUUUGUGUGUGAUUUUUUGCUAUUGCUAGUCACAAAAAACGUUUAGUUAUUUCUCUAAUAAUUAUAAUGGCCAGGAGUCACAACCACACAUCAAGACAUUGUUCAGAUGAUUUGUUUCAAGACAUUUGACAUGUUUCCGUCCUGAAAUGUGUUGAACUAUUUUUAUGCCCCUCAUCCCAAAUCGUCCAUUGCAAAUUCCAAAACGUCAUUUUAGAGCUAAUAACAGAGGCUUGAGCCAUUGAUAUGCAGGCUUAUGAAGUUAUUAAUGCAGUUAUUAGAGGGAGAGAGAGAGAGAGAUAUUAAGCACUUGUGAAUACCU